rnacentral:tRNA from 1 species
GGCUGAGUGGUGGAACUGCUAUACACACCGUUCUUAGAAAGCGGCGUCUUCGGACAUGAGAGUUGAAGUCUCUCCUCAGCUACCA